GCUCAGAAUAGUUUAAAAAAAACAAUGAUCUUGUAAAUCAUAAUUUAAGAAAAUUAUUUGAGCU
rnacentral:tRNA from 1 species